rnacentral:misc_RNA from 1 species
GAACGCACCUUGCGCUCCUUGGUAUUCCGAGGAGCAUGCCUGUUUGAGUGUCAUUAAAUUCUCAACCCCACCGAUUUGCUUCGGGGGGAUUGGACUUGGAGCGUGCUGGCGAAGGUCGGCUCCUCUUUAAAUGCAUCAGUGGAGAGAAACUUGCCCCAGUGUGAUAAUCCUGUUGCGCUGUGGUGGGUGAAAGUCUGCUUCCAACCGUCCCUCCGGGGACAUAUGUCAUCUUAUUUUGACCUCAAAUCAGGUAGGACUACCCGCUGAACUUAAG